rnacentral:rRNA from 1 species
UACGUAGGGAGCAAGCGUUGUCCGGAAUCAUUGGGCGUAAAGCGCGCGUAGGUGGCUUCGUAAGUCCGUUGUGAAAGUCAAAGGCUCAACCUUUGAAAGCCGAUGGAUACUGCGGAGCUAGAGUACGGAAGAGGCGAGUGGAAUUCCUGGUGUAGCGGUGGAAUGCGCAGAUAUCAGGAGGAACACCAAUAGCGAAGGCAGCUCGCUGGGACGUUACUGACACUGGAGGCGACGAA